CUCUACUUUUCGAGCGCGGCGAAUUCGAUACAGUUUUGUAAAUCCGAGAUAGAAUGAGAAUUAGCCAACGAGGUCUAAAUGAAAGUUGAAGAUCUCAUUAAUAGGAACUCAACGGUAAAAAGACAGACAAAAACGGAGCUCGUAUGCAAAAGUUACGGACGAAGCUUAGAGACUACUUUACUAUAAAACUCCUAUAAAUACAAGGGUGAACUCCUCAUAUUUUCUUCACACCAUAAGCCUCUCUUUCUCUCUCUAACUUCUCUCUAGCCUCCCUAAGCCCCUCCCAAGUCUAGGGAACCUCCCUAUCACGAGAAGAAAGCCCCGGAGCGCCCGACGGCUCCGAGAAGAAAAGCUUUCGGCUCGGAAACGCUGCUCCAGCGAAGCCCGGUUUUUAAUAAAAACCCAUUGUUUUGGUCAAGGAAAAAUUGUUUUAAGAAGUAACGAAGAGUUGUCCGAGUGCCGAGUCACCACCUUACCAGGUAGUGGCGCAUGAGCAUAGGUGUGAUGUUUUGGACGAGGGAUUACGGAUAUAGGCCUGUAGAUAUGAAAUAAUGUAGUAAGGCUUAUAUUGUAUUGUUUAUGCUUUUGAUCUGUACGAACAUGACAUCCCGAGUCUUUUAAUGAAAUACAUUUCUAUGGAAAUGCUUUUGAUAAAUCUUUAUCAUAUUUUUGUUUUGGGACAAAUUCCGCAACACUUUCAUUUAAAAUGUAACUCUGAUUUUUAAACAAAGCAUAAACAAACCGGUCUUUUCUGGCCGUGAUUUUGGGGAUGUCACAGAGGAGGGACUCGACGUGCCAAGUGAGGCUAGAAGGAUUCAGAGGACCCGUGUGGACUCGUCGAGUCGCCCACGAGCACUCGACAAGUCUGGUCAAAGUUGACCGUUAACUAGAUUUGACUUCGUUGACUAUUAGGAUUUAGUCAAUGUUUUGACUUUUGAGCCAUUGGAGGGGUAGAAUGGUCUUUUACCCUUCUUAGAGAACUUAGAGAGGGAUUAGCCUGGUCUUUGAAAGUCGUAUUGAUUAGAGUAAUAAUUUUAUGUGAUUAGGCGGAGGCUAGAUCUGUAUUUCCGAGUUCGAGGGUUACCGAGUUAUCCGAGGUGAGUCUUCUCACUAUACUUUACUUAGAGUGGUAGUUAGAGUUAUGUGACAGAGUAUGUUGUAUGCUAUUAUAUGAUGUGACAUCUAUGUGAUUAUGUGCUAUAUGUGAUUCAGAGUUACAGAGUUAUGACCGAAGGGUCCACAGAGUUAGGACCAGAGUCCACAGAGUUAUAGGACUGGAGGGUCCCACUGAGACACUUUGACCAGAGGGUCAUACAGAGUUAUAGCCUCGAGUGGCUAAUACGUGUUGUACGUGGUAUUUUGGGGAACUCACUAAGCAUUUAUGCUUACAAUGUUUUGUGUUAUGUGUUUCAGGUACCAGUGAGGAUCGCGGGAAGGCGCCGACAUGAUCGGUACACACUAUUGGAUUUUUUAUACAUUCUGAUCAUGGGAUGUGUUUUAUGUAUUUGAUAUGUGAUACAUUGAGAUUUGAGAAUAUUUAUGAAUGAAAAUUACAUUUUUAAGAAGUGAAAAAUUGUUUUGAAAUUUACGUCAUUACAAUAUUGACGAUCCCUGCAUUUCUAUCUAGUUAUGUUUGACUAAAAACAUAUCAAAAUAAAAUCCUUAAUUCAAGCAAGAAGCCUGAGAUAUCACCUUUCCAAUUUUAACCUUUUGCUUCAAGGCAUAAAUAGAGGGUUCUAAUCAUUUAAUCCAACAUUAUCAACAUUCGAAAGGGUCUAAACUCUAUUCCUUUGAAGCCCAAGACCUUCACUUGAUCAGAUUACAGUCCGAUGUCCCGAAAUAAGAACAUCGCCGAAACUAGGUGUUACCUUAAUAUUAUGAGAAACCACAAAGACCAUUUAUGAAUAUUUAUGUAAAUUAAUGUAUAGUUUAUGCCUUCCCCAAUGAAUAAAAUAUCUUUUGUUAUAAAGGAUGAUGAUUUUAAAUUACAAAUUGGAAUUUGUUAAUGCACUCAAGACACUGAUAAAAAAUAUGUUGUUUCAGACCUCCAAUGAAUCAUGAUGAGGCGACUAAUAAGGUUGUAAGGAGUGGUGUCAGCAUUAUCAAGCACUACUUGAUAGUUUCAUUUUAUUUACUUCUUUUUAUAGUUUAUUCUAACAUAUUUCAUCCAUAAUUUAGUUAAUUUCCAUGCAUAUUUUCCUUUUUGUUAUUUUAUGACCAUUUCGGGUACUUUCUAGUUUCGUGAGCUUUAUUGCAGAUUUCAUGGAGAUUAGUGGAGCGGGAAUGUUCGGGACAUAUGGAAAGCGAUUGGAAUAAGAGGACAUCGAGGAUUUUGGGCUUGACGGGUAGUGGAGAUGAUGCAUGGAGCGAGCUUGAUGAUUAUUUGAAGGCUUGGAGAGAAAUAAACUUUAAAUUUGCAAGAUGCUGGAGAAUAUUCAAGCGUGCGUAGAUUAUUAAUCGGGCGAGUUUACGAGCUAUGGAGGAUUUGGAGAAGCCAAAUCGGGCUUAAAAUGAAGAAAACUUGAAGAAAAAUGGGCUAGGAGCUGAUUGGACUCGAAUUGGGCCAAAUGGGCUAAGCUAUGGAGGCCCAAACCUCAAAGAGGCCACAUUCAGGAACCACCCAUGCAAUAGCAUGCGGGUCACACACAGCACUGCAGGGGCAAAUUCGGAGUUUCAUUUGGAAGGCUAUUUGAGGAAGGUUGGUGCCCAUCUUUUGGAGACUCUUAGACACCCGAUUUUGGAGCAUUCUCUCUGGAGUUUUGAAGACUUUUGAAGGCCAAAAACACCUCAAGAACAUCAUCUUUUCACCUCUUGAUUCUUGUUCAAUGUUUGGUACAAUCGUUUCUAACUUUGUUUUCUUAAGU